rnacentral:tRNA from 1 species
UGUCCAAUGCGGGAAUCGAACCCGGGUCGUAGUGGUCGAAAACCAAACGGUUUAACCAGCCUUCCACCGAGCUAGGU